UGCUUGGUAAGGCGCUCCGUUUCAUGAUCAUUUGGUAUCGUUGAUGUCGCAGUUGUUUGUGCAUUGUGCUCGUCCUUACGAUGGCUGGUGUUGAACUUUAGAGGACUUUUAGGUUUCACAUUAUGCGAUAUGACGUAUAAUAAAUUCAUGAAAGUCUAAUGAAAUUGCCAUAACGAAAUUUCAACGAGACAAUUAACAAUAUUCACUACUUUCAGAAGACGAUUAUGCAAUAAUGGACAUUUAUGAAUGCCUGGAAUACUCGAGUCAAAUAUUUCAACAACCAAGAGUACCAAUUAAUAUUUAUCACAAAGGCAUAGAGAAUGUAGAUAUAAUUACUCUGUCAAAUAAUAUCAGAAUUUAUCUUCCAUGAUAAUAUUCAAACAACUUACUUUCGCUAUUUGUCACAAAUUCCACCCGAAGAACUCA